rnacentral:lncRNA from 7 species
UUACCGGUAGAUAAGGGGGGUAGAUGAGUUAGCCACGGUGCCCCAAUGUUCGGCGGUGGAAGAUUUCUCCGAUGAGAAAUUGCCCAUGCUUGGCCGGCUUCCCAAGCCCAGUAACUCCCCGCAUGCACUUCACACCCGACGAUGAAGUCACGGGUCCAAACACCCAGUGGAGAGUCGACGCGGACGGAGGUCACCAGCAGUGGGUGAUCGAUCCUGCGGCGGCGGCAGAUCUCCCUCCACCCUUCUGCUUUCUCUCCACGGCACAACGUUCUCAAUGGUGUAGAUGAGGGAUGUUGUGCGGGGUCGGGG